rnacentral:sRNA from 2 species
AACACAAUGGAGAUGCGUCCUGACAAAGGAGUCAUACCGGGAUCGCAUUUUCAGUCGCGACUUGGUAGGGCAUGCUUCACGAUGGAAUGUAGGUGCAUUCUCGCGCUUGCCUCCUCGUACAAUCGGUCAUACCGGUCCAUUCUGUCGCUGACCAACGUACAAUGACAAGAGCUAGAUGGCAAACCGCUGACCUUCCCAACUAGCUCAAACCGGCCGGCAAGCCGUUUCCUCUUCUUCCCGUUCAUCACGACCUAUCUCCAAGCCAAGAUUCAGGGGAACGCAGAGUGGGCUGAGAAGAUUGAGACGAGCACUGCAUACGACCUAUGGCCCUAAUCAGGACCAGGGGGUUACCUGGAGAGGUACACUCUCUAAUCCAUUGGGCGGAAUAUAUCCGGAUUUGACCUUCCGGCUUCCUUGUAUGAGGGGUUGAUGUCCAAAGCUGAGAGCCCAGCGAAGGACCCGGAUUAUGACACUGUUCUAUCGAUGCGUCUUCGUGAGGUAUUGGCUAGUGGGAUGAAAGGCCUAGGUAUUCAGAAUAACGAAAAGUUUGGAAAUGAGCUGAGAUUGGUGAACGGGGCGAGGGAAUUGGAGUAAGGAAGCAUGAUUCUGCUCAUGACUGAGUGGUGCAUUUUGACUUUGUUAGCCGAAGUUUGGGGAUGCUCAUGUCGAUCUAUGGAUCAUUUAAUUAGGAAAUUGAAGUGUGAAAUUGUCGUGCAGAUGUUACUGCAAAGAACCAGGGUAACU